rnacentral:rRNA from 1 species
UACUACCGAAGCUACGGCAUCAGUAAUGAUGGGUAGGGGAGCUUCCCAUACGGGUUGAAGCAGGACCGUAAGGACAUGUGGACAGUAUGGGAGUGAGAAUGUUGGCAUGAGUAGCGAGAUGUGGGUGAGAAUCCCACAGGCCGUAAACCCAAGGUUUCCAGGGGAAGGUUCGUCCGCCCUGGGUUAGUCGGGACCUAAGCUGAGGCCGAAAGGCGUAGGUGAUGGACAACAGGUUGAUAUUCCUGUACUACCGAU